AGUGAACGCUGGCGGUAGGCCUAACACAUGCAAGUUGAACGGCAGCACAGUAAGAGCUUGCUCUUACGGGUGGCGAGUGGCGGACGGGUGAGGAAUACAUCGGAAUCUACUUUUUCGUGGGGGAUAACGUAGGGAAACUUACGCUAAUACCGCAUACGACCUACGGGUGAAAUCAGGGGAUCUUCGGACCUUGCGCGAUUGAAUGAGCCGAUGUCGGAUUAGCUAGUUGGCGGGGUAAAGGCCCACCAAGGCGACGAUCCGUAGCUGGUCUGAGAGGAUGAUCAGCCACACUGGAACUGAGACACGGUCCAGACUCCUACGGGAGGCAGCAGUGGGGAAUAUUGGACAAUGGGCGCAAGCCUGAUCCAGCCAUACCGCGUGGGUGAAGAAGGCCUUCGGGUUGUAAAGCCCUUUUGUUGGGAAAGAAAAGCAGCAGGUUAAUACCCCGCUGUUCUGACGGUACCCAAAGAAUAAGCACCGGCUAACUUCGUG
rnacentral:rRNA from 1 species